rnacentral:rRNA from 1 species
UACACUCCUACGGGAGGCAGCAGUGGGGAAUAUUGCACAAUGGGCGCAAGCCUGAUGCAGCCAUGCCGCGUGUAUGAAGAAGGCCUUCGGGUUGUAAAGUACUUUCAGCGGGGAGGAAGGCAAUACGGUUAAUAACCGUGUUGAUUGACGUUACCCGCAGAAGAAGCACCGGCUAACUCCGUGCCAGCAGCCGCGGUAAUACGGAGGGUGCAAGCGUUAAUCGGAAUUACUGGGCGUAAAGCGCACGCAGGCGGUCUGUCAAGUCGGAUGUGAAAUCCCCGGGCUCAACCUGGGAACUGCAUUCGAAACUGGCAGGCUUGAGUCUUGUAGAGGGGGGUAGAAUUCCAGGUGUAGCGGUGAAAUGCGUAGAGAUCUGGAGGAAUACCGGUGGCGAAGGCGGCCCCCUGGACAAAGACUGACGCUCAGGUGCGAAAGCGUGGGGAGCAAACAGGAUUAGAUACCCCAGUAGUCCCAUGA